ensembl:lncRNA
AUGAAAGUGCUGUGCUUACCUGAUAGCUGGAGCAAGGGAAUAAUAUUCUUCUAGAAAACUACUUAAAGUAUCCCCUUGAUUCUGAUAAAUAUUGAACGAGAAGUUUGCACUUUAACCACGAGGCCUUUUCCCCCUUCUGAAAUGAUCAACAAGCGGUAUCUUCUCCAUUCCUAAUUUCUUCACUGGUAUUCAAACCUAAAUGCUUUGGGAUUCCAACAGAAUGAAGAUCAAUGUCUAUCCAGGAUUCCGGUGCCACACUAGGGCUACUGAGAUACUGAGUCUUGUAGAUUGAACAACUGCCAGAAUCUUGGCCUUUCCAUCAUGAAUUAGUCAUUAAUGGACUAUCCAGCUGCUAGACUGCAUCUGGCUCCUGAAAGCACUGAGCUCCACUUCUUCCUAACCCCAUCCAACCCUGCUACCCCAAACACCAGCUCCAAGCUCUGGAGAAGCGCAAGUGUCAAUCACAGCAACACCUGAAUAGAGACCUCUAGGAGGAAUUUCUCAGGCUACACAACCAGCACCUUUGGGCUUUAUAUCCCGCUGACAUAGGCAACCAUUGGCCUGAGCCCAAGGAUCCAAUGGAAGAGUUAGGGGAAGGACUGAAGAAGCCGAAGGAGUUUGCAACCUGAUAGAAAGAACAUUAUCAACUAAGCAAACCCACCAGAGCUCCUAGGGACUAAACCACCAACCAAAGAGUGUAUACAUGGAGGGACCCAUGGCUCCAGCUGCAUAUGUCGCAGAGGGUUGCCUUAUCUGGCAUCAGUGGGAGGGGAGGCCCUUGGUCCUGUAGGAGAUUGAUGCUUCAGUGUAAGAGGAUGCUAGAGAGAUGAGAUGGGAGUGGGUGAGUGUGUGGGGAACACUUUCUUAGAGGCAAAGGGGAGGGAGGGAGGAUUGGAUGAGGUUUUCACAGAGGGGAGACCAGGAAGGGAGAAAACAUUUGAAAUGUAAAUAAAUAAAAUAACUAGUAAAAAUUACUGCAUCUUUAUUGUUAGAUAGUA